rnacentral:rRNA from 2 species
AUGAAGAGCGCAGCCAGCUGCGUGAAUUAAUGUGAAUUGCAGGACACACUGAACAUCGACACCUUGAACGCACAUUGCGGCUCUGGCUCACUGCCAGAGCCACGCCUGUCCGAGGGUCGGC